rnacentral:rRNA from 1 species
GGGUUGUGAGGUUAAGCGACUAAGCGUACACGGUGGAUGCCCUGGCAGUCAGAGGCGAUGAAGGACGUGCUAAUCUGCGAUAAGCGCCGGUAAGGUGAUAUGAACCGUUAUAACCGGCGAUUUCCGAAUGGGGAAACCCAGUGUGACUCGUCACACUAUCAUUAACUGAAUCCAUA